rnacentral:rRNA from 1 species
UAGAGUUUGAUCCUGGCUCAGAGUGAACGCUGGCGGCAUGCCUAACACAUGCAAGUCGAGCGGCAGCAUGGCGUGUAGCAAUACACGCUGAUGGCGAGUGGCGGACGGGUGAGGAACACAUCGGAAUCUGCCCGGUCGUGGGGGAUAACGUAGGGAAACUUACGCUAAUACCGCAUGAGACCGAGAGGCGAAAGCGGGGGAUCGCAAGACCUCGCGCGAUCGGAUGAGCCGAUGUCGGAUUAGCUAGUUGGUGGGGUAAAGGCCUACCAAGGCGACGAUCCGUAGCUGGUCUGAGAGGAUGAUCAGCCACACUGGGACUGAGACACGGCCCAGACUCCUACGGGAGGCAGCAGUGGGGAAUAUUGGACAAUGGGGGCAACCCUGAUCCAGCAAUGCCGCGUGUGUGAAGAAGGCCUUCGGGUUGUAAAGCACUUUUAUCCGGAACGAAACGCGCCUGGUGAAUAUCCAGGCGAACUGACGGUACCGGAGGAAUAAGCACCGGCUAACUUCGUGCCAGCAGCCGCGGUAAUACGAAGGGUGCAAGCGUUACUCGGAAUUACUGGGCGUAAAGGGUGCGUAGGUGGUUUUUUAAGUCUGCUGUGAAAUCCCCGGGCUCA